CAUAUGCUGAACUCCAAACUUUAAAUUAAGUCACAUACUAGAUUUAACAGCUUUAGGCCAUGAAUUUGUAAACUUAUCCACUCUCUGCAUGCUCAAGAUCUCACCUAUUUGCCAAGUGUGCUAUACUGGGCACAGAUGCCUUGCCCCAGCAUCCCUACUUACUAUGUUCUAACUCUCAGACAAAAUGAAUUUCCCUUACAAAAUGGCUACAAUGAGAUCUCGCACAGUUACAGAAAGCUGUGGAGGAAUACUAAUGAAAAAAGAAAUAAUUAAAAGCCCAAACACCGCUAUAGCAGUUUUCAGAGCAGUAAAAUUGGUGCAUAAUGAAUGAUAAGAAGCUCAGCUUGUAAAUGCAACCGCUUCUAACUGCAAAGGGCACCCUGCUGUUACUGUCACUGUUGGGAAACCUCUCCCAUUACUUUAACAGCGUUAUAGAUUCACUAGCAAAUACAAGCUCUUCUGCAGUAUCACUGCUACAUAAAUCUACUGCAUAUUUUACAACUGACAUCACGUAUUCCAUUUUGUAUGAUUUCUUGAAUUCAGAGCCAAUUUCUGCCUUUCUCACCUAUCAUACACACACAUAUUUGUGGAGGAAGACUUCAGUACAAACAGAGCACACAUCAGCAAGCUGCUCCUUAAGCCUGCUUAAGACCAUUCCCUCGCUGGCACUGAUGCUAACAACCUGAAUCAGCCAAAGAAACAGGUUUAAAACUACAGGGACCCAAUGCUGUUCCUGCUGACUUCAAAUGGAAGAAUAACGACAAUCAAUAUUUCUCUCUUUAAGAUUCAGGAGGAAGAGAUAAGAUGAACAGCAAAGUCAUCAAGGUUACUACCUUCCUUUGAGCCACAAUUUCUCCUUCAUUAUUUCUACUGACCAACACUCUCUCUGACAGCACGAUGCCCCUUCAACUCUGCCUCACACUACAGAACUAACUCAGAUUACAGCUCCUUUUGAAAAAAAGACAGUCCUGGAUAGCUGUAAAUACCAGUUUGAUUCCAAAUCACCUCUAAUAAUGGGCAAGGAGAGACUCUACAGAACUGGACAGGAUGCUACAGGUCAACACUAUUAAUAACAACAAAAAAGCGCAGUCUGUAGAAUGUAUCAGCUCAUUUCAAAUCAAUCCCCUAUGACCACUUGAAGGGCUCAAAAUGAGAAGACGGCGUGUCCUACUGACACUUGCAAUGUGUUCAGCAGCAUGCAGAGAUGGUAUAUCAUAAUUUAUAAAAUCAGAGGCUACAGUAAAAGGUGAGGACAGAAGCAUCAGCCCACACGCGCCUUCAGAGAUCAUGGUUAGUUUUCAAGUAGGGCUAGAAGGCCUACAAACAGCAGGGUCCUAGGCUCGCUGCAGGCAAACAUUAACUGAUCAGGCUUUAAGUACACAAGUUUAAUGGACUACAAAUGAAAGCCAAGCACUCCAAUUCUUUUCUCACGCAGCAGCAAUAGCACUGUCUCAGUCUCUCAAUUCUCUAUUACCGUAUAUUUAGUCCAGGUGGGAAUUUGAUGUCUUUAUACAACAAAUGAAGUUGUGCUGGUGUCAAACACACUAAAAUAAAUGCUAACUGUACAUGCCAUACCAUCGCCAAUGAGAAAACAUCUCUAACUUGUUCAGAGGACUUCUAUUCAAAUGCUUUGCCUGAAGCAGUCUCAGGUCUCUAGACUAAAUGAAAUACGUAGAUCACAUGCCUGGAACUUCAGGCAGUUUCUCACCACGUAACUACGAAUCAUCUUCAUACACUCAAAAAGGUGAGCAACACUAACCUAAAGGUAAUUCCUUCUUAAGCAUGCCUUGAUUUGAUAAACAAUAUUUGUUUCUUUGCAAGCCACCGUUUAUUUUGCCAUCCCUCUCAAAAAGAAUGCAUGCCUUUUUCCCCCCAGUUAUUCUCUCUUAUGUUCCCUGUUGUUUCUGCUCUCCUUUUUUAAAGGAGAGGUACUGCUUUGAGAUGUACAACGCCUCCCCAGGUAUAAUCACCCAGCAGUAGUACUACGUUACCAGAGCCCAUGCCAUUGAUUGCACUGAUGAAUAGAAUAAAGACAAAUUAACUAACUGACCUUUUAUUUCAGACACAUGCAAAAAGAAAAGAGGAGAGAACAUUGGCCUGCUGGUCCCAGACGUUCAGGCCAGUACCAAGCAGCCUGUCUGUACAUCAGCACUUGUAACAUUACAGUAAGCUACCAGCAGCCUUUGUACAGCUGUACAAAGCUGGGCAACAGAUCAGCAGCCGCUAUGGAAAACAGCUACUUACAGACUGCAGUAUCAUGCACUGAGACAACCCACUGUAGCAAUGGGUAGUAUCUGUGUUAAGAUAGGAACGUGUUUUCAAGCCUACUGGGUUGCUUUAAAACUUUUACACUACUUCUUUUAUCCUUGGUACUUCAGAAAUGUAAUGCAAACCACGCCGUGGCUGUGGUGCAGUUAUCAGGCAAUGUUAUGGCUGCUUGGACAGCUAAGUUGAUCUAAUGGCUCAGUGUUGUCCACAGGGAUAUCUCUCUUUUCUCAGCUGUUCCCCCCAUCAUGUUCCCUGUCAGCUCACCCUCUGACCAGCCUUCCACGAGCUAACUGAGCACAAAGCAGCUGGAAAUCCAGCAACACAGGAGUUUUUCCUGCCAUUCUAGUGUGUCAGAUUGGUCUACAAGGUGAGCUGUGGAGGUAACAGGGCAGAAGGAAGAGAACAUAAAAAAGGUAGGCCAGGGAUUUCUACAGCAAAUGGAACCUUAAAAGUAGGAGCAAUACCUGGGGAAACAGUACAACAAAACCAAAAAUCAGUUACAAACUGCAGGUGGCAGAACAGUGAUUAUAUCACAGAGCAAAUUUCAGUGCUUAAAGGUUAAAGAGACGCUUAAAAUGAAGCUCCUGUAAGCCACCGCCCUCUCUCCUGCAUCAAAAAGGUACUGAAGAAAGAGGAGGAACAUAAACAGAAGUCCAAAGGAAAAAAAAGUCAUGCAUAUUGCCUGUGGUGUUAGCUAGACGUGUCUGUUACACAGGUCGGCUUUCUUUACCUGAGAUGGCAACUAUAUUCACAGCACAACGUCAGAAAAAAGCUGUAACAAAGCACAGGGCAGUCAGCACAGCACCAACAGGACACGUUGGUGUCACACAGGCUGCAUAUGGGGACACAGACAUGGCUUUCCUGCAGAAAAGCCUAAUGCAGGCUGAAGGAAGAUAAGAACUGAUCAUAGAAUCAGAAUGGCCUGGGUUGAAAAGGGCCACAAUGGUCCUCUGAUUUCACACCCCCUGCUAUGUGCAGGGUCGCCAACCACCAGACCAGACUGCCCAGAGCCACAUCCAGCCUGGCCUUGAAUGCCUCCAGGGAUGGGGCAUCCACAGCCUCCUUGGGCAACCUGUUCCAUUGAGUCACCACUCUCUGGGUAAAAAACUUCAUCCUAAUAUCUAACCUAAACCUCCCCUGUCUCAGUUUAAGACCAUUCCCCCUUGUCCUAUCACUACCCACCCUCAUAAACAGCCGUUCCCCCUCCUGUUUAUACGCUCCCCUCAUCACAAAACAAAUCAGCCUGCACUGCAAUGGCUGCGCUGUUCUAGAAGUUUCUCCUCCAGCCACAUUUCUCCCAGUGAAUGCUUUCACGGGGCGCAAAGAGGGGCCGAGCGUGCUACUGACUCAUCACUCAGCCCUCCCAGGGGAAGAAGGAAGCGAUUUAGGUGCAAACACGGCCUAAGGGGCCACAGACGUUUGGGGCUGCCCGAGGCGGGAGCUCGGGGCGGGGCUGGGUGCGGGCACGGCCUCUCCUCAGCACCCGGGGGUGCUCGGCCGCCUCGGGGAGGCCUGGCCCGACCGCCCGGGCGUCAGUCCGCAUCGAGAGCGAUCCACGCGCUACGGGAGGGCUGUAGGAGAAAGAAUAUAUACCGUUAAUUAUCACAUCAACGCGGGAAACCUGUGCGGGGGGGGACGCGCUUAAACACGCGCCUACAGACACACGUGCACGCACCGCUGUCUCGCUGCGUAGGCGUCCCACCCAGCCCCGCAGUCAGCCAGCGUCACCCAAACAAAGGAACGCGCGCCCUGAGCGCGCAGCUACUGACAUGAAAUACUCAGUCGGCAUUUAGGAACGCGCAAGGCCGCCGUCUCGCCGCUAGUUCGGCGCACGGAGGCGGCACGCGACCCCCCUCAGCCCCCGCCGCACACCGAUACUCACCGACCGCCUCCAGCGGCGCUGCCGCCCAAGCGCGACGCGCGCCGCUUCCGGCCGCCAUGCCGCUCCCGGCAGCCAACGGGCGGGCGAGGGCUGCGCGGCCGCGGCGGGGCGAGCGGCGGAGAAAUGUUUUCACAUGCAAGUUACGUACCUAUUGGCUGCAUGCUUCUGACCAGAUUGUCACUGCAAGGCUGAUGGCUCCUGACAAAAUGGAUGCGGAGUGGGAGACACCAACUGGAAACUUCUGCUUGACAGCUUUAGCUUGCUUGAUGCCUGUCUCUUGCUGUUCAGUGACUGGGCCCCUCAUGUGUGCAGUCAGUGCUGGAGCUUCUUUCCUGCAUCAGAACUCCCAGGCCAGGUCAGUGCUCAGUCUGAUUUGUGUUCUGCU
rnacentral:lncRNA from 1 species